UCCACGAACAUGUCUGCCCUUUGUGCUACCUGGACCUCUGUCUCUAGUUGUUUUGGGUUUACUGUGCUUGUUUUUACUGUCGGCCACCUUCGGACCGCUGGCCUCCGCUCCGCGUUAACGAGGUGAGUGAAGGAGCCGGAACCUGGCCGGGAGAGAAGAUGGCAGCGGGCACGGCGCUCCUAUACGACGAGGAAAUGACCAAGUACAAGCUGCUGUGGGUGGACCCAGCAUGCAAGAUCGAGGUCCCUGAGCGUCUGACAGUGAGUCAUGAGGCCUUGGUCAGGACCGGUCUGGCUGCUCGCUGUGUCUCCAUAGCGGUUCGUGAAGCCACAGACGAAGAGAUUCUGCUGGUUCACAGCGAGGAGUACCUGGAGGCAGUGAAGAAGACCCCUUACAUGACUCUGGAGGACCUGAUGGCAUUCACUCAGCAAUACGGUGACGUCUAUUUCCACCCUAACAUCUAUCACUGUGCCAAGCUGGCCGUGGGGGCCACGCUGCAGCUGGUGGACAGCGUUAUGACGGGCCGGGUGAGGAACGGCAUAGCUCUGGUCAGACCGCCAGGGCACCACAGCCAGAAAAGUGCGGCCAGCGGUUUCUGCAUAUUCAACAAUGUGGCAAUUGGGGCUCGAUACGCCAUGCAAAAAUAUGGGGCCAAAAGGGUGUUGAUCGUUGACUGGGAUGUGCAUCAUGGUCAAGGGGUGCAGUAUUGCUUUGAAGAUGAUCCAAACGUUCUCUACUUUUCUUGGCAUCGUUAUGAGCAUCAGAACUUCUGGCCGAACCUCCGAGAAUCAGACUACGACAGUGUUGGCAAGGAGAAAGGGGCUGGAUUUAACAUUAAUGUGCCAUGGAACAAGGUGGGGAUGGAGAACAGUGACUACCUGGCAGUCUUCUUCCAUGUCUUGCUGCCCGUUGCUUAUGAGUUUUGCCCAGAUUUGGUCUUGGUGUCGGCAGGCUUUGACUCAGCCAUCGGUGACCCAGAGGGGAAAAUGUGUGCCACCCCAGACAUCUUCGCCCACCUCACUCACCUCCUGAUGAACCUGGCAGGCGGCAAACUGUGUGCGGUCCUGGAGGGAGGCUACAACUUAACCUCCCUCGCCCAGUCCGUGUGCCAGACUGUUCAAACGUUGCUUGGAGACCCCGCCCCUCUACCUGCAGACCUGGGUGGUCCCUGUGAAAGUGUGCUCAAGUCCAUCCACUGUGUCCGAUCAGCUCACAAGCAGUACUGGUCCUGUCUCAAGUACACAGCUGAUCUACCCGCCUCUGAGCUCAGCGCCAAGUCCCUAAAAGUAGCCGAACAGAAAACUGGGAAUGAGCCUGAGGCACAAGAGCAGAGAAGCCCAGAGGAGAUAGUGUGGCCAGAGCCUCCAAAACGUCUUUGUCCUCCUGUACGCACGGCUGUGGCUCUCCCUGAGGGCGUGGCCUGCCCAGACGCAUGUAAACGCUGCAGCUCAGCAGAGGCUCCCUCCUCACUUGUACUCAACAGAAUCAGAGGGGACUUCUUCAAAGAGUCAGAGGACAAGGUUACUCUCACAGCCCUUUGCGAUCUCAUUGCCCUUUUAGAGAGAAUGGCCAAGAAUGAGGUUCGUAACGGCUUAGCACUGGUCCAGGAUGUCUCCAUGGCGAUGGUGUGUGUUAUGCAGCAUGCUCCCACUUCACUCACCAACAGGGUUUUGCUGGUGUGUGUGGGAGACGGGUGUGUCCCGACUCGCAUCACAGAGGACGGGAAAACUCUCCUGGUGCACAUCAGCAGCACGGAGGCACAAGGGCAGAAAUCCAAACAUUGCGUUCCUGUUUGUCUGAGGAAGGGCUGCAGUGACGUGGCUGGGUUCAUGCAGGCGGUGUUGGGCCUCCUGUUGCCUCUGGGCUACGAGUACAACCCCGGCCUGGUUUUGUUGGUUCGGAUGCCAGGUAGCGGAGUGUGUGAGAGUGUGUGGCAGCAGCUAGCUGGUCUGCUGCAGGGCCUGGCGCAGGGGCACACACUGGUGCUCAUGCAGGAAAAUGAGACGGCGUCAGCCGGCCCCACAGCCUCUGCUCUCCUGGGGAGCCCGGCCCCCAUGCUGGGGCUCCUGGGAAACCUUCUAUCAGAGGAUUUGGAGGCCCUGGAGACACUGAGAAACACACUGCAAGCUGACUGGAAGUUACUGCAGCACCAGAAAGUGGAAGAGGCAACAGGGGUUAAAGUCACACCUUAUCCUGCAUCAAACAUCAGCUGAGGAGCAUUGUUCAUCCAUGCGGACCAAAUUUUUUACCACUUUGUGGCAUUUUUUACUGUUCAAAGUGCACGGUUCAAGCCAACAGCUUCAUAUGAGCACAGAACACCUAUUUAUACUAAUCAUGCCUUUGAUUGGGCUCAGUGUCCAAUUAUGAGGAUGUCUGAAUGAGGGACAUUAGGUAUCGCUACAUUAAUGGCACAUAUCCUGGUUGUCAUUCGGUUGGAACCAUGAAAUUGAGCUCAGAUGUUGGGACAUAUGUUUAGAGGUCGAGAAAAGUCAGACUUCACCGGUUGACGGUUUAGGUUUCGUCCUGUCCUACACAGUCUGAGGAGAGGGUCUUGAAAAACAUGCAGAGAUUUGUCCGACUGUAGGAUAUGCCAUUGCCUCAGAAUAAGUGUCUUAAUUUCCUCUGAACAUUUUGUAUAAUGUGUAGAAAAUAUGGCAGGAAACAUGUUUGAUUCCUUAUGUUUUGCCUCAUGAAUAAAGGUUUAUUUUCAUAAUCCCCAUA